rnacentral:rRNA from 1 species
AUUGAACGCUGGCGGAAUGCUUUACACAUGCAAGUCGAACGGCAGCACGGACUUCGGUCUGGUGGCGAGUGGCGAACGGGUGAGUAAUGUAUCGGAACGUGCCCAGUCGUGGGGGAUAACGUAGUGAAAAUUACGCUAAUACCGCAUACGAUCUAUGGAUGAAAGCGGGGGAUCGCAAGACCUCGCGCGAUUGGACCGGCCGAUAUCAGAUUAGGUAGUUGGUGGGGGAAAGGCCCACCAAGCCAACGAUCUGUAGCUGGUCUGAGAGGACGACCAGCCACACUGGAACUGAGACACGGUCCAGACUCCUACGGGAGGCAGCAGUGGGGAAUUUUGGACAAUGGGCGAAAGCCUGAUCCAGCCAUUCCGCGUGCAGGAUGAAGGCCCUCGGGUUGUAAACUGCUUUUGUACAGAACGAAAAGGUUUCUACUAAUACUAGGAGCUCAUGACGGUACUGUAAGAAUAAGCACCGGCUAACUGCGUGCCAGCAGCCGCCGCGG